GGACCUUGGGGGGACCACAUCACCCAUCGGCUAGAUAACAAGAUAGAAGGGAUACACAACCACCUGUCAAAAAAAGUCACCGUGGGCUGAUAGCUCACACCUAUAAUCCCAGCACUCUGGGAGGC